UACGGAGGGUGCAAGCGUUAUCCGGAUUUAUUGGGUUUAAAGGGUCUGUAGGCGGAAUUAUAAGUCAGUGGUGAAAUCUGGUCGCUCAACGAUCAAACUGCCAUUGAAACUGUAAAUCUUGAGUGUUAUUGAAGUAGCUGGAAUAGGUAGUGUAGCGGUGAAAUGCAUAGAUAUUACCUAGAACACCAAUUGCGAAGGCAGGUUACUAAAUAACGACUGACGCUGAGAGACGAAAGCGUGGGGAGCGAACAGG
rnacentral:rRNA from 1 species